rnacentral:rRNA from 2 species
UUAACCGAAGAAGUGCAUCGGAAACCGGGCGACUUGAGUGCAGAAGAGGACAGUGGAACUCCAUGUGUAGCGGUGGAAUGCGUAGAUAUAUGGAAGAACACCAGUGGCGAAGGCGGCUGUCUGGUCUGCAACUGACGCUGAGGCUCGAAAGCAUGGGUAGCGAACAGGAUUAGAUACCCUGGUAGUCCAUGCCGUAAACGAUGAGUGCUAGGUGUUGGAGGGUUUCCGCCCUUCAGUGCCGGAGCUAACGCAUUAAGCACUCCGCCUGGGGAGUACGACCGCAAGGUUGAAACUCAAAGGAAUUGACGGGGGCCCGCACAAGCGGUGGAGCAUGUGGUUUAAUUCGAAGCUACGCGAAGAACCUUACCAGGUCUUGACAUCUUGCGCUAACCUUAGAGAUAAGGCGUUCCCUUCGGGGACGCAAUGACAGGUGGUGCAUGGUCGUCGUCAGCUCGUGUC